rnacentral:rRNA from 1 species
AGUCGAGCGAACCACUUCGGUGGGAAGCGGUGAACGGGUGAGUAACACGUAGGUGAUCUGCUCAUCAGACGGGGACAACGAUUGGAAACGAUCGCUAAUACCGGAUAGGACGAAAGUUUAAAGAUGCUUCUGGCAUCACUGAUGGAUGAGCCUGCGGCGCAUUAGCUAGUUGGUGGGGUAAAGGCCUACCAAGGCGACGAUGCGUAGCCGACCUGAGAGGGUGAACGGCCACACUGGGACUGAGACACGGCCCAGACUCCUACGGGAGGCAGCAGUAGGGAAUCUUCGGCAAUGGGCGAAAGCCUGACCGAGCAACGCCGCGUGAAUGAAGAAGGCCUUCGGGUUGUAAAAUUCUGUUAUAAGGGAAGAAAGGUGAUAGGAGGAAAUGACUAUCAAUUGACGGUACCUUAUGAGAAAGCCACGGCUAACUACGUGCCAGCAGCCGCGGUAAUACGUAGGUGGCAAGCGUUAUCCGGAAUUAUUGGGCGUAAAGAGCGCGCAGGUGGUUAAUUAAGUCUGAUGUGAAAGCCCACGGCUUAACCGUGGAGGGUCAUUGGAAACUGGUUGACUUGAGUGCAGAAGAGGGAAGUGGAAUUCCAUGUGUAGCGGUGAAAUGCGUAGAGAUAUGGAGGAACACCAGUGGCGAAGGCGGCUUCCUGGUCUGCAACUGACACUGAGGCGCGAAAGCGUGGGGAGCAAACAGGAUUAGAUACCCUGGUAGUCCACGCCGUAAACGAUGAGUGCUAAGUGUUGGGGGUCGAACCUCAGUGCUGAAAUUAACGCAUUAAGCACUCCGCCUGGGGAG